rnacentral:rRNA from 1 species
GGCUCCUACGGGAGGCAGCAGUGGGGGAUAUUGGACAAUGGGGGAAACCCUGAUCCAGCGACGCCGCGUGAGUGAAGAAGUAUUACGGUAUGUAAAGCUCUAUCAGCAGGGAAGAAAAUGACGGUACCUGACUAAGAAGCCCCGGCUAACUACGUGCCAGCAGCCGCGGUAAUACGUAGGGGGCAAGCGUUAUCCGGAUUUACUGGGUGUAAAGGGAGCGUAGACGGAGCAGCAAGUCUGAUGUGAAAGGUCGGG